AAUAUCAAAUUUAACUUGAAAUCAACAAAGAAAAAAAUGUUUCUCUCUCGAAAUUUUCGGCGACGACACUGACGAAUUGGCGACGACGACGACGGUGUUAAAAACACGGCGAUUCUACGUCGACAACACUCUUAACAAUCAAAAUUGAAGCUUAUGCAUAUUUAUAGGCUUGGAGCUUCUAUUGUCGGCACUUCACUUCACCACAUGGAUUAUGAUUUACGGAUCUGAUUUUUGAAUCCACAAACUCCUGCUAUAGACAUGCAAUGUUCAGGUGUUGAAGAAAUCUGCGGUGGUUCUGCCUACGACCCUGCCUACUACACCUUUCUUUUUGAAGAGACCCAAACCAAUAUGAAUUCACCAAAGCUGAAGAGAAAAACCAUUACAUGAGAAGUUGUUCUGCUUAAGACAAAGCUCUAUUGUGUUUGUUGUCCAGCGUUGGAAAGGUCAUUGGAAGUUGUUGGAGCUCAAAUCAAAGGCUGCUAAAUUUUGGGAACGCAAGGUUUUAAGGUAAUGUACCUUGGAUUAUGUUAUUUUCUAGACAAUGUUGAUUAUGUGUGGUAUUUUAUCCGCAAUCUUAGUAUUCCUGAGUGUUAUUGAGAUGAGUUUGUUUGUGAAAAUUUGUGGGUUUUUUUUAGUUCCAGGAAGGUGUUUCAAACUUUCAGUAUAGCUUUCCAGAAAAUCCGAUACUAGAAAUUUUGAAUGUUUUUUUUGACUUGGUUACGCAUGACAACAACGCGAUGGGAGAUUCAAUACCUGUCAUGCUAAGACUAUGUUUUUGAAAUUUGAUGUUGAGUUGGACAAGUAAGAAGUUUGUGAUGAAUGAUGACGACGUUUGUUUCAUUUAGGUUGUUAUUAAAAAAAAAUUAGGAUGUCUUGAAGCA